rnacentral:lncRNA from 1 species
AAUUAAAAUAGACUUAUUUCUAAGAAAAACAGAACCACGUGAGUCUUAGGCAGCAACAGGGGCAGUUUCAGAAGGUUUGUCUCAGUCUCAAUAGAGACAGACCAAUCCUAAAAUUCUGGGCAAAAGAAAUAAUAUUUCGCCUUUUAAUUAUUCUAAUAUUUUUCUUUUUGUAUUUUUGUUGCACAAGAUUUAUUUAUAAUCAAAGUUCUUUAAAAAGAUAUUUUAAAUAGAAUUAAUCAAAGUAAAUUAAAAAGAAAUAUAUCUAUAUUAUACUUACUACUAAGUAAAAAUAAUAAUUUGGAUGCGCUUAAAAAAAUGAUGCCCUGGACUACCAUUCCUCCCGUCCACCCUCAGGGGCACCCUUAUAGAGACAAUUGUGACAGUUUCGGAUAGUUCAAUUGCUUGAUUAAUCUAGAUAUUUAUUGGUAAUAAGAUUUUUUUUUUUUGAACAAGCCAAAAUGCAAAAUAAUAAAUCACCAAGAGUGUUUCAUCUCGCACAAGGUGUGCAAAAGAGAAACACCCCAAAAAUUGUACAAAACAGUCACGAAUAUCUCAUACUGGAGCACCUCCAAAUUCCAAGGAAAACAGACAUAAAUUACAGCAUUAGACCCAUAAAAGAUAAAGGAGACCUCCACUAGUCAUGAUGAUAGCUGAACACGAAAGUAAUGAGAUUCGCCUUCAAUCACUGGAAAGAUGUCAUUUUUAGCUUGUCUGUUAAUAUAGUUGGAGCCAAUGCCUUGUUAUUAAAAACUCUGUUAUUCCUGUCCUUCCAAAUGAUUCAGACACACUCAAAUUGAUGUCUAACCAAUGGAGAAGAUCAUACCAGACGCUGCCAAAGGUUGUGCAACCAAGAAACAAGUGACCUGCAUUCUCCUCACUACCGCACCCUCCAACACAACUGAUAUCGUCAUACUGAAGAACACGACGGCGCAAAGAGAUUAUCUUUUGUCGGAAGACGGUUACGAAGAAGACGCCAAGCAAAAAUUGAAACCUUUAAUGGGACUUUCUUAUGCCAAACGUCAUUGAACAAUCCCCUUGCAAUAGGUUCAUCACCUGUUGUUAGAAAUUUAUAUGUUCCCUUAACAGAGUAACCAUUAACGGGAUCAAGAAGCCACCUCUACUUAUCUGACAAAUAAUCCUGCAAAACAAUAUCAUGUAACAAGACAUAACAUUGCCUAACACAAUCCUCCUCCCAAGUAGGGCUGGAAAUGAGCCGAGUGGAAUCGAACCUGUUUGAGUUCGACUUGGCUUGUUAAGAAUUGGCUCGGUCCGGACCUCGUUCGAGCUUGACCCGAACUUUUUUUUUCAGUCCGAGUUCGGCUCGUUUAAAGUUCACGAACAGUUUGGUUCGGCUCAUUAGGUUCAUUUCGUUUGUUCAAAGCACGUAACUUUAGGUUAGGUAUGGAAAUAAGUAAAGCCGCUUGAACCACGUAACUCAAAAGUCAAAAGAAUUUAAAUUUUUUACCCAUAAAAUAUAUUGGAAUUUAUACCAAUUUUUAAUGGACUGAACGAGACUAUUAUUACACAUAGUAAUUAACAUCGAUAUGCAACCACCAAAUUGAAUUUUGCCUUCUUGUGCCAUAUGUUUCUCUUAUUAUAUAUAUGAUCAAUUAUCUAUAAAUUUUAAAAUAUUUUUUUAAAUGUUAUAUAUAUAUAUAAUCGAGUCAUCUCGUGAACCAAACGAGCCGAACUACAUAUAGCUCAAGUUCAGCUCAAUUAAUUCACGAACUUAAUUUUCAGCUCAAGUCUGGUUCAUUUGGUUCAUGAACCAAGUUCAAUGAAUCAACUGUCGAAUCGAAUUACGAACUUUAAUCGAGUUGGUUCGGUUCAUUGUCAGCCCUACUCCCAAGCAAAUAGGCGCCUCCUCAACACCCAAGCACUCCCCAUCCUCCCAACCCUGCAUCGCCAUAUCCUCUACAGUUGCCCAUUUGUCAAUGGUUAAAUCAAAAAGGCGAGGAAAUCUUAACCGUAAAGGCACACUUCCCACCUAGUUAUCCGUCCAAAAGAAAGUGGUACCUCCCCCGCAAUCCAUGCGCAUACAUUAUCUUCAAACCAACUUCCAUCCCCCCACCCUACACCACCACGAAUGCGUGACUGCAUCCGCCACCAUAAAGAACUGUCACGCCCCCUCCUUCAGGCGCCCACCUUCCUCCCCGUACCUAGCCUUCAGGACUCGAUACCACAACCCCUCCUUAUCAACCAACAUCCUCCAACUCCACUUCCCUAGUACUGCUAAAUUAAAUUCAUACAAUCUCCGCACACCUAGCCCUCCUUCCUCCUUAGGGACGCAAAUCGAAUCCCAAUUCACCCAGGCAAUUUUCCUAAAAUCCGCACCACCCCCCCAAAAAAAUCUUUUUAAUAAAGUUGUAAGGGAAGAAAAUAUACAUGUGGGAGCCUUGAAAAAGGAAAGAAAGUAAACCGGAAGAGAAGACAGGACAAAUUUCAACAAUACCAGACGGCCAACAAAAGAUAGAAACUUAUUUUUCCACACCGAUAACCGAGACACAAUGUGAUCAAGCACAGGUUGCCAAAAACUACACCGGCGCAUAUCCGCACCAAUAUGUAAUCCCAAAUAUAUAAAAGGAAUUUUACCCGUCCAACAAUUCAUAACCGACACUGCUUCAGUCAACCAAGAGUCUGACACAUUGACACCCGUUAGCAUACUCUUGUGAAAAUUAACCUUCAAUCCGGAUGCCGCCUCAAAAAGAAUUAAAACUGCCUGCAUUGACCUCACAUUCAACCAACUCUUCUCCCCUAUAAUCAAUGUAUCAUCCGCAAAUUGAAAGUGAGUUAACUGCACCUCAUUGUGAUUACCCACAUGGUAACCAGUAAACAAAUGAGCAUCCACCAAAUACUUCAUCAUGACAUUAAACCUCUAAGCCGCUAUCAGAAACAAAAUGGAGAUAGAGGGUCCCCUUGUCGGAGCCCCCUUUCUAAAGGAAACUCCUCUGUAGGGCUGCCAUUCACCAACACGGAUGCCACCGUAGUUCCUACACACUCAGCAAUCCAUUUCCUCCAAAGAGUCGGGAAAUUCAUUUUAACCAUGACCGUAUCAAGAUAUUAUUUUUAAUCAUAUAUUUCAUUACUUUUUAACUUAGCUCAAUGUUUUAGGAAUUUAUUCCGAAUUUCAAUUUUGCUUAUUAUAUUAGUCUAAACUGUUUGUUUAAAAUGAUUUCUUUCCUAUUUAAUUUGUUGUUGAACUUUGUUAUACAAUUUCUUCUAAAUUCACAUCAUCAAUUUAAAUUUUCUCAAAUUAUUAAUCUAAAAUAUGAAAAUUCUUUUCAUCUUUGUGAAAUCAUUUAUUAGAGAAUGAGUCAUAAAAAUGAAAUGUGUUUUUUAGUUAGGCGAAUGAGUUAGAAGCAUCUAGUAUCACAUUUUAUUCAUUGUGGAAACACACACUUUUAACAUUACUAUCUAUUAUUUAUAUCUAUUGUCAAAAAACACUAUUAUUAAUAUCUUAGAAAUGCAUAAAUACAAUCCAUGCUCUCUAAAUUUUACAUGACAAUUUACCAAAUGUAUAUCGUUUAAAAAGUUUCAUUGUGAAUGAGUUUGUCUUAUUAUAUUAUUCUAAAAUGUUUCAUGAUUUUGUUGUCUAAUAUGAAAUUAUUUUUUCCUAUUUGUAGUUGAAUAUUGUCAUGCAAUUUCUUCUAAAUUCUUUUUCUCAUAUUAUCAAUAAAAAAAAGUUAUUUCAUCUUUGCGAAAUCAUGAUUGGAAUGGAGAAUGAGUCAUAAAAAUGAAAUGAGUUUUUCAUUUAGGUGAAUGAGUUAGGAGCAUCUACUAUCACAUUUUAUUCAUUAUUAAAAUGCACACUUUUAACACAAUUAUUUUUUUAUUUUUUUAUCUUAGACAUACAAAAAUACAUGUCAUUCUCUCUGGAUUUUUCUUCCAUUUUUUCCUUCAUUUAAACUAUUUAAUCAUUUUUAUAAUAUUAUUUAAAUUUUAAAUCAUCAUUUAAAAAAUUAGUGAAAUAGAAACAAUACAUUACAACAAUAGAAGUAACAAUCCAUAAAUAUUCCCUAAAAAAAAGAAUCCAUAACAAUAUUGGACACUAUAAGAAAAACCUUAUUUUAACCUUAUAUAAAAAAAUAUUUUGGUGGGGGGUAACAUCUUUUCUUAAAUUCACUUAAUUAUUUUUACCAUUUUAUUUGCUCUUUAAAAAAUUGCCAAUUAUUUCUUUUUUGAAAAAUAUUAGUUUACAAUAAUUAUGAUGUAAAAUGAUAAAAAAAAAAAAAAAAAAAAAAGUGAUAUUUACAUUUUUAAUGUUAACUAAACUACGAACUACAAUACUUUAAAUAUUUUGAAAACUCAGAAAUACUCAAGUUUAUUUCAAUUUCUAACUUUUUUAAGCCAUUCAUACUACUAAAAUCUUUUUUUUUUUUUUUUGUGGUGGCCAGGGUUUGAACCUCAGACCUUACAUAUAUUAAAUAUUGUCCAUACUAAUUGAGUUAACCUCACAAAGACAUACUAAAAUCUAUAUAACACAAGCAAAACAUGAUUAUUUUUUAUUCCUCUACAAAUUUUAUCCACAAGUUCAAUCUUUUCUUUUUUUUCCUUCCGAAAGUAAACUUGAAAUUUGUAGUUUUCACGUUUCCAUUUUUGAAUCAUAUUCACUAUUUGAGACAAACCAUUUCAUUCUAAUCCUAAUAUAUUACUCCCUCCGUCCCAAAUUGUAUGUCGCUUUAGGAAGAAAAAAAAUGUCCCAAAUUAUAUGUCGUUUUACAAUACCAAUGCAACAUUAAUGUUAUUUUUUCUAUUAUAACCUUAACUAUUUAUUACUAUCUUUUCUUUCAAUUCUUUCAUUUAUCUUUCUCAUGUUAUUUAUUAAGGACAAUUUUGUAAAACAACUCAUAAUAUCUUUUUUCCAUACAAUAUUAAUUGCAUUUCUUAAUAUGUGUGAAAUGCUCAAAACGUCAUACAAUUUAGGACGGAGGGAGUAGACACAACUUUUAUUCCUAUUCCUCUUUCCCCCAUUACCUCAAAGUUCAACCUGACAUUGUUCAUCCACAUGAAACCUUCAAGAAAACUCAUAUGUGCUAGUAAUAAUAGUGUUCCUUCACCCGUAUCAUUGACUAUAGAUACGGUUACUUCAUUCAUAGUUAUGGCCAUUAGCCAUGGUUAUGACAGAUAGUGAAUUAUUACCGCAAGUAACAGUGAAAAAACCAUGUCGGCGAGUGAAAUAGACAUAAGCUCAAGUAGUGGAUGAGUUGUUGGCUCUGACCGUGUGCUCGUUGAAGAACAAGUCGACGACUCAUAGCCAAUGACUUGGUUAAGCGAAAUUGUUUCUUAGCGUAGCGAAAGCGAGGAUCAUUGUCAAAACAACUGAUUUUGAUUAGCGCCAUUUAAUCAUAGAGUUGGCUGCUUUUCGGUCAACUAUGCAUAAGUACAAAUCACACAUGUGAAUUUUAACUUUUUAUAUAUGUUGGGGCCACCUACAAUUCAUAUGAAUUUUAACUAAGUACUAUCUUUGAAUAAUAAGCCUCAUCAGUAGUCGUAACGAUGGUGGAAUCAGCAAUGGCUGAACAAUAAUGCAGUUUUAGUUUCUUAUGUCACACCUAAUUUCAUAGUUUCUUAUCAAAAUGAGAUUAUUUUUUUUACAGAAGAUCUUGCGUGGGUUGAUUCAUACCUAACAAUUUUGAUAUUUUAGAAAGUGAUUGGAUGCCUUUUAGAAAUGCUUUGUUAGAAAUUAUCAGUUCCGAAUUCAAUCUUCCAAAGUUGAUGACAGAGAAGGCAAGUAUUCCUUGUGGUAGAGGAGACAAAUAUUACUUUCCAACUCAAUCAGUCAUUUUCGACUUCUGAUGUAGAGCACUUGCAAAGUCGUUCUUCGAGUAUAAUGUUAGCCUAAUAAGUAUGGUUACAGAACCAAGCACAAACACUGAAUUCACUAACACCUUAUCUUUUUCAACCUUUUAAGGAAAUCUUUUUUUGCCAACUUAUAAUAUGGACGAGACCGAACAAAACAUUUGAUUUAUGACUUGAGCUUGAUUCUGCAACUUAUGAGAUGGAUUAGGCUUAGGCAUCUGAGAAUAUCUUCAAACUCUUGGGAUGUGGGUUAUGCAACUGAUGAGAGUGACUGAGAGUAUCUUCAAAGUUUGGGAUUUGGGUGAACUUGUUAAAGAGUUGAAAAACGCUAUAUCUUUCUUUGCGGAAGGACCUGAAGGAAAGAUCGCUUGAUGAUCUUAUUGCUGGCAUUGCUGAUUUGUCUUUAAAUAAGAAAGUUUAAUUUUCUUUAAUCUUGAUCCAUCUAUUUUAACUCUAUUUAAGUAUUAGCAUUAGAAGCGUUAAUGAGUACAGAAAAUACUAAAGGAAUAAGAAUAUAAAGGAAGUUAACGAGUAAUUAGCAGCAAGGACAAUUUGAUUUAUAGUUCAAAUUAAAGUAGUCAACAACAUUCAUUACAAAUUGCAAAAUAAGAUAUAGUGUAUGUUUGGUAUAACAAUUGCAAAACGAAGUUUGAUAGAAAUCACGGCAAAAAACUAUGUCAGGGUAGAAGCUGGUAUUUGGAGCUUCUGUAGAUCACGAUUCACGACAAAAACACAUCAGGAAACGUGCAAAUAUGCUUUUGUUUGUUGCAAACACGAAACCAAACACACAUAGUUAUAGACUUCUAGUAGCUUAUAUACCACUACCAGUAACACAUCACAUUGAAAGUAUUUAUCACAUGAACACCAAACAUCAUUCAAAAUUAAAAUAGACUUAUUUCUAAGAAAAACAGAACCACAUGAGUCUUAGGCAGCAACAGUGGCAGUUUCAGAAGGUUUGUUCUCAGGCUCAAUAGAGACAACUGUGGCAGUUUCAGAAGGUUUGUUAUCAGGCUCAACAGGGUCAAUAGUUACAGCUUCUGAAGGCUUGUUUUCAGGUUCAGCCUCAGUUGCAGUUUCUGUGGGAUUGUUUUCAGGUUCUACCCAGAAUUCAGUUUUCUUUCCAGUUUUGGAAACAGUGUCAAAAACAUCUUGUGGCUUUACAUUUCCUUUCACAGUCACUUUUUGUUCCUUCAUAUCAAUGUCAAAUGAUUCUACACCU